UACGGGAGGCAGCAGUGGGGAAUCUUGCGCAAUGGGCGAAAGCCUGACGCAGCCAUGCCGCGUGAAUGAUGAAGGUCUUAGGAUUGUAAAAUUCUUUCACCGGGGACGAUAAUGACGGUACCCGGAGAAGAAGCCCCGGCUAACUUCGUGCCAGCAGCCGCGGUAAUACGAAGGGGCUAGCGUUGCUCGGGAAUUACUGGGCGUAAAGGGCGCGUAGGCGGAUCGUUAAGUCAGAGGUGAAAUCCCAGGGCUCAGCCCUGGAACUGCCUUUGAUACUGGCGAUCUUGAGUAUGAGAGAGGUAUGUGGAACUCCGAGUGUAGAGGUGAAAUUCGUAGAUAUUCGGAAGAACACCAGUGGCGAAGGCGGCAUACUGGCUCAUUACUGACGCUGAGGCGCGAAAGCGUGGGGAGCAAACAGGGAUUAGAUACC
rnacentral:rRNA from 1 species